rnacentral:rRNA from 1 species
CCUACGGGUGGCAGCAGUGAGGAAUAUUGGUCAAUGGCCGAGAGGCUGAACCAGCCAAGUCGCGUGAGGGAAGACGGCCCUACGGGUUGUAAACCUCUUUUGUCGGGGAGCAAAGAGAGUCACGUGUGACUCAUUGAGAGUACCCGAAGAAAAAGCAUCGGCUAACCUCGGGCCAGCAGCCGCGGUAAUACGGAGGAUGCGAGCGUUAUCCGGAUUGAUUGGGUUUAAAGGGUGCGCAGGCGGAGGUGCAAGUCAGCGGUAAAAUUGCGGGGCUCAACCCCGUACUGCCGUUGAAACUGCAUCCCUUGAGUGCGCGAGAAGUAGGCGGAAUGCGUGGUGUAGCGGUGAAAUGCAUAGAUAUCACGCAGAACUCCGAUUGCGAAGGCAGCAUACCGGCGCGCAACUGACGCUCAUGCACGAAAGCGUGGGUAUCGAACAGGAUUAGAUACCCCGGUAGUC